GUUUCAUUUCGCCGCAUGAUAAAGAAAUCCAACUGGGGCUGAAAUGACCAGCGUUAGGGCAGUGGACAUUAAUGUGGAUGUAUUAUGAAAAUGAAGAUGAAUUGAUGAGACGGCUCGUCGUCGUGUCAGUGAGAUAAUCUGCAUGUUGCAUGUUGACAUGAAUCCUGCGUCUCCUCAUACUGAAGCUUCUCACUGCUUCUCAGCAACAGCAAGUAAGAAAUAUGGCAGAGCUCAGGCCUCCACAUGCAUCCGUCAUCAUCAUCAUCCUCAUCAUCAUCAGGAGACGCACUGCUGCUAUCUUCAUCACAACUGCAUCGCCACGUGUCCUCUCGCUCUGGACCAAUCAGAGCGCAGCAUCUUCUACACAAGCUGUCCAAGGUGGGAACGUUUAUUCUUCCUCACCGUUCUGUAGAAUACUGUAGCUACCAUCAUGAAAUGUUCCAUCUUCAUGCUGCAGUGGAGGUACAGUAUAGUCCCAGAGCCAGGUAGAGGUGCACCCAUUCGACAGUACCAGCUGUCAAUCACACUGUAUCCACGCCCCCCAACACACACUGUGCUUUACGGUCUAUGUGACUGUAAAUGAACCAAAAUGUACAAAAUGAACAUCAU